UGUGGCUCUCUUCCGUCUGACUUCCUGCUCUGGGAAUCUGGCUGAGGGCAAUGUGACCUCGGCUAAGCCGGAGUGCCCUGUGCCCUACAGAAUUUCCAGGUGAGCUGGA
rfam:Sarcophilus harrisii ctg7180002435658, whole genome shotgun sequence.